UACGUAGGGCGCAAGCGUUAUCCGGAAUUAUUGGGCGUAAAGAGCUCGUAGGCGGUUUGUCGCGUCUGCCGUGAAAGUCCGGGGCUCAACUCCGGAUCUGCGGUGGGUACGGGCAGACUAGAGUGAUGUAGGGGAGACUGGAAUUCCUGGUGUAGCGGUGAAAUGCGCAGAUAUCAGGAGGAACACCGAUGGCGAAGGCAGUUCUCUGGGACGGUACUGACGCUGAGACGCGAAAGCGUGGGGAGCAAACAGG
rnacentral:rRNA from 1 species